rnacentral:lncRNA from 1 species
GGAUAAGGUGAGGAGCGGUCGAUCGGAUAAGGAGGGGAGGGAAAAGGAAAAUAAGGGGAUAAGAAAAGAAAAAGAAAAGAAAAAAGAAAAAGAAAAGAGAGAAAAAAUAUAAGGGUAUUUUGGACAUUUGACAUCUUCUUUACAUUAGGAAAAGCUGUUUUGUCAAACGUUUUCGUAUAAAAUAAGUUAGAGCCAGAAAAAGCUGCUUUUCC